UUUAGAGUAAAAAGGAUGUUCCAGAAUACCCUGGAAAUGUACCACCGGCUAUGUAGGGGGUGUUGGGCUUGAACCUCAGCUCUAUCAUCAUCUGACUUAGUUUCACAGCCUUGGUGGCCUUCUCCGUACUGUGUAAGUUUAGACCAAAGGAUCUCCUCUGCUUAUCCAAGUCGAAAAUGCCACAGAACUGUAACACUUAGAAGACUCUGUGGAAUACGAACACUUCUCUGAUUUAUCCUCAUGAAAUUGUUUUCCUGAUGAAAGGAGUGUUCUUCAGAAGAAUACAGAAUGGAUAUCUCUUUGUUGGAGAACAACCGUAUUUUUGUUUUAAAAUGAUAUUAAAAUAAAUACAUUUACUUCAAGUAAGGAUUAUUGUUUCAGUUCAUAGUAGUUUUCUAUGAUAUGGAGGUGGGGGGCA
rnacentral:lncRNA from 1 species